rnacentral:lncRNA from 10 species
UCUUGCAUGUCUCUUGGGAUCUCUCCUGGAGUAUGAAGACCUCCAAGGACUCACUUUCCCUCCCUUCUGAUGCCAGAGCAGACCAAGCUGUCACACUCCAGUCUCAUGCUGAAGUCUCCAGCUUCUCAAGCUUAGAAGAGUUUUUGGAAGAGUCACUUUCAGCUCAUGCAGCUCUCACAAGUGUGAAGGGAGUGGGUUGGGGGUGUUUUCCUUGCCAUUUUCGAAAAGAAAAAAAUUACCUGGUGAUUGGUGGAAAGAUACAACUGUCAAAAAUGCAUGAAUGAAGCAAUUUAGGUUGGGAGACCAA